GAAGUCCGGAGGGAAAAGGAUAUCAAAGUCCCACUGUCCAGUGUCAUCACAUUCAAAUCCUGCAGUGACCUACAUAUAUGUACUUUUUCCUUCUAUCGCCUAUGAGCUCCUGGAUAGAAUUCUGCUGAAACCCCUUCCCCCUAAAAACAC